rnacentral:lncRNA from 1 species
CUUUAUUGUGAGGUCUGAAAGAUUGGAUUCAAAUUGUAUUCUUUGCACGAUUAGAUUAAUUGCACUUAACUAGAAUAAGAUUAACAAAUAUAUGCUCUCAAAUGAUACAAUACUGAAAAAUAUAAAUGGUUACAAAAUAGAUUCAUUAUUAUUUUGGAGGUUUGAGUAAGUUGAAAAAUAUAAACGGUUACAAAAUAUAUUCAUUAUUAUUUUGGAGGUUUGAGUAAGUUGAAGCAUCUCGACUUAAGUGGUAAUUAACAAACUCAACCUCAAUUGUAGUGUCUUAUCUUCUCCAUCUUCAUUAAGAGAAUUAUAUGGGAUUCAAAGGAUUUUUUUAUGUUCAAGGUAAUUAAGCCUGAUGUCAUGGGAUGAGUGUUUUGCGCAAUGAACUUGUGCGGUACUUAGACAACCUUUGCCGAAUGUUGCUAAGUAAGCCUUGAGCUUUUCGACUAGCUAAGCCUAGAGGUUUUCGAAGAGCUAGAGAGAAGAGAGCAAUAAAGCCAAAUGAGAGAAAUUGUAUUACUCGCAAAGAGAUUACAAGAGAACUUACAAGCGUGUUUGAGUUGCUUGCUCAAAGCUUGAUGCUCAAAUGCUAAAUGCCAUGCCCUAUUUAUAGGGGAGGCUUACCGAGCUCAAAAGCUCUACCACUUUCCUAGAAUUCUAGAUAUUUACAUGUGCUAGAAAUGUGUAGAGAAUCCUAAAUAUAUACAAGCUUGAGUGUGCUAGAGUUACUUAGAAAUUUCUAGAAUCGGGCCAAGCUAGCACUCUUAGCCUUGUCUUGGGCUCUCUAACUCGAAUUUGUGGGCAAUUGGGCUAGUAAAUUGGGUGGUCCGCAACACUAAACCUGCUUCUCAUUUUAUCUACUACCUAAAUUUAUAGAUCUUCAACAAUAUUUAAUUAUAUUGAUUAGUUCAGAGGAAUCAAAUUCUAACAGGGUUUAUUAAGCAACCUUUCAUUUACUCUAUCAAUUAAUUAAUUCAUACCUCUAGUACUUUUAUUUUUUAAGUUAUAGCCUAAUUGCAACCUAAAUUUUAUUAAAUUAAAUAUGUAAGUAGAAACAUAAUAUUGAUAGCCUAAAUUUUAUAAUAACUAGAAACAUAAUACUAAAAUAAAUAUAUAAAAUUUAAAUUAUUCUCAAUAUUGUAAAAUAAUUUUUUAUUAUUAAUAAUACAUGAGAUAAAAUCUAUUUAACCCAAAGAUUUAUCUAAAAUUUGUACAAUAAAUUUAAAUAUAUUAUUAAAAUAAAUAUAAUAAUUUAAAUGUUAAGACUUAUUUUAUAUAUAAUUUUAUUAAUAUUAAUAGUGUAUUAGAUAAAUUAAACUAUUUAAAUCAUAUUUUUAUUUAUUAAAAACUUUAAAAGUCAAACUUUUAGUUACUAUUUACCACAAGUAUUAUAGUUAAAAGAGGUCUUGGUGUCUCCUGACACGACUUAAAAUGUGUUUGAUUUUCUCCCAGGUAUAAGAGUGCCUAGUUAUAAUUUAUCUCGGUGAGUCCGAGGUCGAUCCACAGAGAAAUGAUUUAAUUUGUUUACUUAAGUUUAUCCAAAUAAAAAUAAAAUUUAUAAAUAUGUAAUUUAUUUAAGAAAAAUUAUAAAAUUGAAUUAGUUAGGGUUAUGGAUCUACUCUUAGUAAUAAAUACAAUUUAACAAAUUCUUUUUAUUUUUAUUUUAUUUCUCAAAAGAUUAAUUGUAUAAAUUAAAAUUAUUUUUCCAUUUAUUUUAUUGUGCAUUAAGAAUUUAAUGUGCCAAAACUUAAUUUGUCUACACUAAAUCAAAAUUCUAUUUUUCCAUAUUUUAUACUAAGAUAUUAAGAAUUCAUUGUGCCAAAUUCCUAUUUUUGUCUACAAUAAAUCAAAAUUUCAAAAUAUAAAUAUGAAUAAAAUUAAAUAGAAAAUAAUUUAAUUUAUAAAAUUAAAAAUAGAAUUUGAUUAAACCAUAUUUUUACUAAGAGUUUCACCUUCCCCUAACUACUAAUAUUUAGCUAAACAUAUUUAAAAUAAAAGGAAUUUCUUAAAAACAAAAAAGACAUANNNNNNNNNNNNNNNNNNNNNNNNNNNNNNNNNNNNNNNNNNNNNNNNNNNNNNNNNNNNNNNNNNNNNNNNNNNNNNNNNNNNNNNNNNNNNNNNNNNNAUAUUACAAAGAGGGAUGGGAAGAAGAUUUUGGGGAAAAAAAAGAAAAGAAAAGGUGUGGAGAUGUGUUUUCACCCCCCCCCCCCCCUUAUUUAUACUAAUACAUGGUAAAUCCUCACCACACAAAUAAAAAAAUCUAAUUAUAUCUUAACCUUACAUUUGUCCCACUAAUAAAACAUAAACCUAACUUAUCCACUCAAGCAUAUCCAACACAUUCCACUAACAAUUACCAUACCUAACAUUAUAAAAACUUAUAAUUUUACAAUUACCACAUUUACCGUGGUAAGAACGUAAAAAUUUAGAGCAAAAGUCUUGGAUCCUCCUCGACAAUGGCAUAAUUUCUCUAACUUCCGGAAUCCAAAUUUGACAUCCAUACAUUUGUUCGGGGCCUCAAAUUGAAUGAAAUUAUUAUUUUUAUCUAAUAAACACACAAAAAUACACAAAAUCAAAUAUUUAGAAAAAUAAUUAGAAAUUCACAGUAUGUUACACAAUUAAAAAUAUAAAUUACAUUAAUAAAACAAAAUAACAUUUUUAUCCCUUAAUAAACAUAAAAUUUUGAACACUAAUCAUCUUAUAUUAAAAACUUUGGUUCUAUAUGAUUAUCUCCCCUAACUUUGGGGGUGUGGCUGUUUUUUUUCCUUCAUUUUAUUAAUAAGUUUAAUUAAUAAAGAGUAAUGAUAGAAAUCCCAAAUUUUUUUAUCCCAAAUGAUGGGCAUUCAUUCAUUGGUUGAUAAUUCUUUACAAAUCCAAGUGAAUUAAUUGUAUUAUCUCACCAACCAAUUGAUAAAUGUCAAUAAUUUGAAAUAGUUAUUUGGGAUAAAAAAUUUGAGUAUAACACUACUCAUUAAUAAAAGAAUGAGGGAAGGUUUGUCCAAGUCAUGCAUUAUUUGAUUAUCAUCAAUCAAGAAAGUGAUCAAAUUAAUUUCUCUCCAUGAUUUCCAAAAGCUAGAAAAUUUUGUUACUUGAAAUUGGAAAAUAACAUCAUUAAUAUAGAAUGGAUCAAAAUCGCAUUAUUAUCUUUCAUGAAAUUGAUGUAUAUCAAGAGUCAUAUUCUUUACUUUUGACAAUUCAGUCAACACCAAAUUGAACUUUCUUAUUUUUACUAUUGUUAUGUUAACUUUUUCGAUCCCCGAUUAUUUAUUCAUGAUUAUUACAUCAUUAAUUAGAGUUUAUCAAACCGCAUUUUUUUACUUCAUGGAAUUGAUGCAUGUUAGGUCAAUGUUUGGCAUGCCACAUUGCGUAGGACAAUUGGUCGCCCUCGUAUUGAUUGAAAAGAAUCUCAUGUUUGGCAAUUCAAAUGGUGCGCAGCACACCAGACUUAAUGCUGCAUUUGCCUUAUUAUUGAAACCCAUCAACCCCCUCGGAAUUAAGGUGUGCAACAUUCAUUUUUAAGAAUAAAAUCUUAAGGUUUUCAGAAAUGGUUAUAUAAAUCCUCAAUAAGGGACUCUAAAAUCCCUUGCUGACUAAAAUACCAUUUGGUUCUAUCAAUUUAAAAAAUUUGACUCCAAUAUUUUAUAAUAAAUAAAAAUAUAACAUUAAAAAAAAUAAUUUAUAUUUUAAAAAUAUUGUAUAUAUUACAAUGAAUAUAAUAUUAUUAUUCUACUAGACAAAUUAAACUAUCUAGAUUAUAUUUAUAUUCAUUAAAAAAAUUUAAAAUCAAUUUUUUUAAUUUCUAUCUACUAAAGAUAUUAUAGUUAAAAAGGGGUUUCUUAAAAAUUUAGGUGUCUACGUAACCAUUUCCGUUGAUCAAAUCAAAGCUUCCGUCCUCCUAGAUCUAUGGUCAAAAUUUGGAACCCCAAAAACUUGACCAUAUAUUUACAGCUAAUGAAAGCUGCUUUUUUGGUGAUACAUGUAUCGUUGCAUAGAUUUGGUGAUAAUAAUUCCAAUGGUGAAAAAAUGAUACCAAUAGAUGCCAAAAUGUGAUUGGAGCGGGUGGCUUGUGGUGGCCAACGGUGGAUAAUUAUAAAAUCUAAAUAAUAGAUUUAAGAAAAUAAGACCAAAAACAUUUAAGAUAUUAAAAAUUAUUAAAAAUUAAUUUAAUAUAAAUAAUAAUUUAAAAAAUAUUAGUAUAUAUAGUGCUAUACAAUGCAACACCAAACAUUGAAUAUUAUUAAAGUAAUACAAUGUUAAUACAAUACAGCUUACUGCAAUACAUUUUGUAUUAAAAAAUAUAAUAUAGUGUGCCAAACACAUCCUUAGUGUCACACUUUUUAAACAACCUCGGGCUGCUCUUUUUUUUUUUUUUGACUUAACGAUUUCGUCAUUAACUUAAUUCGAUCAGUUAAACUAUUAAGUCCGUUUGUUUUUUCAACAUAAUGAAAAAUUUCAGUCAUUAAGUUAUUAUAUUAUUAAUCAAACUGUUUUAGCUUUUUGCUUAAUUUAAAAAAGUUUUAUUGAUAUCAUUAAAGAAUAUUCUCUAGAUACCUUAUCUAAUUAAUUAAUUUUCAUCCUGACCUAAGUAAAAUGUAAUACUUUUCAUUAUUACCAUCUUUAUAACUUGUGACAAUAUGGCGAUAGACUAUUAUUAUGUUUAUUUUUUACUUUCUUCAAAUUAGCAUUAUUUAUCUUCAUAAUUUUUUAUGAAUAUUUUUUGUAAAAAACAAUCAUGAACUACAAUAAAAUUGAUUAACAUAUACAAAUUUAGAAUUUAAAAUAUCUUAUUCAAUUGAACAUGAUUUAUGUUAUGAUAAUAUAUAAUUUUACCUAAGUUCUUUGAAUAUUUAUUAUUUGUUUAACAUUCAUAAUUUUUAAGGGGACAAUGUAAAAAUAUUAAUUUUCAGAUUUUUUUAAAUUUAAAAAAUACAACUUAAUAUUUGUAUUCAGUAAUUCAACAAAAAGUAAUAUGAGCAUAUUAUUCAGAUUCAGACAUUCAGUUCAAUUCAAAAUUCUGAUUAAUUAAGGUCUAUUCAAAAUUUUUGAAAAAAAAAAGCCACCCUAAUUGACAUGAACUUUUUUUUUUAAUUUUAAAAAUUAAAAAGAUCUUUGGAUUUCAACCCAUUUGUUUGGCCUUAAAAGAGCCAGUAUUAUUACCAUUUGAAUUAGCCUUCGCCUCAACUUCAACUUUAUUCUUUCCAUGCAACCUUGGUCGAUAUCAACUAGAAUUUUGCUAUGUUAAUUAUUUCAAUCCCCCACAUUAUGCAGUCUUUGUAGUGUAAACUUAAUUUCACACCUAAAUAAGUUGAUGAUCAUUACUCAACCAUUAAUAUUUCAAAAAGUCAUUUCACCAUCCAUGCUAUUAGUUUUUCCCUUAAAUUUAACUAUUGACUAUUUUACCAUCUUAAAGUAUAUAAUUAUGCCUUUAAUUAUGUGAUACAAUUAUGAGAAUAUUCAUUUCAGCUUAAAAUAACUAGAAUACCCAAAAAAAUAACUUAAAUUAAUAAAAUAAAACUAUCAACUCCUUAAAGGAUUCAACAUAUAUGAUCUGAUCUUACUAAGAUUGAGGUCGUCUGUCUUGGUCUUAUUGAGGUCCAACAUGAAUAAAUUAUAUGACCCGAUCCUAUUAAGACUGAGAUCAUCAUUUUAGCUUUGUUGAGUUCUAAUAUGAAUAAAUUAUAUUAUCCGAUCUUAUUGAGAUAGAGGCCAUCAUUCUGGACUUUUUGAGGUCCGAUGUGAAUAAAUUAUAUGUUCGAUUUUAUUGAGAUUGAGGUCAUCAUUUUGGUUUUGUUGAGGUCCAAUGUGAAUAAAUUAUAUGAUCUGAUCUUAUUGAGAUGGAAGUUACCAUCUUGGCCUUAUUGAGAUCCAAUUGAUUUUGUUCUACUAGGCUUUUCGAGAUCUAGCUUGUUAUAAUUGUUUUGGUCCUAUUAAGGUCCAAAGGUAAGAACUAUGAUAUGAUCUUAUUAAGAUCAAGGUCAUCAAUUUUGAUAUUAUUGAGGUCCAACCUAAUUUAGUUAUUUGAUCCCUUGAUUUAAUUAUUUGAUCCAAUCUUAUUGAGAUUGAAUUUGAAAAUUUUUUGGACUCCAUUUUAGCCUUAUUGAGGUCCAAUUGAUAUUGUUCUACUAGCCUUAUUAAGGUUUGGCUUGUUAAAGUUGUUUUGGCCUUUUUGAGGUCCAACGUGAACAAGAAUGAUCUAGUCUUAUUGAGAUCGAGACCAUCAUUUAGCCUUACUGUCGUAAUGAAUUCAAAUCCUAUUGAUGUCAAUACGUAAGUGUACACAACAAAUAAUAUAAUAAUAAGUAGACGAGAUCAUCUCCAUGAGGAUUGAUGAUAUUAGACUUGCUAUAAUAAUCUCAACAAUGCAAUUUUGCUUUAAUUGAAAAUAAAACUAAUAAUAAAGCUAAUAACUUAAUUAAUUAAAAUAAAAUGCAAUAAAGUCAAUUCUCACAUCACACACAAGGAUAAAACCAAUGGGAAUAGAGUAGUUGAAUGAUUAAACUCACUUAAUAGUUUUGACUAUUUUUCUAAUAUUUGGUUCAGUUGCUACGACAUUUGCUACAAUAUUGGGCAGAAUCUUUAUGUAUCAUCAGCUGUCGCAUGUUGGAUGUCUUAUAUCUUUAUGCAACCUAAUAGUGACCAAUUGUUAUACUAACAUAAGAUAUAGCAUUACAUGCUUAGGUUUUAAUUACCCUAUAAGGUGAAUCUCUAUGUCUAGUUCAUCACUAAUUUUAGAUUAAGCAUGACCCUUUUGGAAUCAAGUAAAACUCAACUCAGGAAAUCCAAUCUAAAACCAAGUAUUGUUUUGAUAUAUUUCACUAAGAUAGGCCCUUUUGUGGCUCUUUCCUACCUAGUACCAUUAAAUAUGUGAUCAACCAAAUUAAUGAAUAGAAAUAAGUAUUAUCAAAACAAAGUGCUAUAGCAAACAUGCAGCAACACAUAUAAUUAGUCAAUGAACCAUUAAGAUUGUUUAUCAUUCAACCACAAAUGAAUUUAAUUCAUAGUUUGCGAAAGAAAAAUAAACAAAAGAGUUUCAGUCAUCAAAUACAUCCUCGAGUAAAUGAGGAAACAAGAAAAGAAUAUGAAAGACUGAUUUCCUGAUUGAUUUCUGCAAUUUUUCCUCUGAUGCAGCCUUAAAUCUUGCUCUUGAAUUCUAUUUUUCUCUUGUUUCUUUUUGGUGUUUAUUCUUGGUUGACGGCUCCCCCUUUUCUUUUGCAUGUGUGCUUUUUUUAUAGUUAAAAAUUAGGGCAACCGCAAGUUUAGGGCAUGCAUUUUCCAGAUUUGCUAUAGCAGCGGCUACAACAUCUACAUUAUUCUAGACUUUUUUCAAUUCUUCUGUAGCCAAGUUCUUUCUUUAUUUUUGCAAGCGCAUUACAACAGCAUCCCUUCUUUGAAAUUUGAGCUUCCGAUUACCUACAAUUAUAUAUAUGAUCUAAGCACACAAUUAUUCUAAAACAACGCAAUUUAUUAAAAAUAAACUAAAAUGGAUAUUAAUGCAAAAUAUAAAUAAAAAUGCAAUAAAAACAUAUCAUUUACUCUCUAAGUAAUCUUGAUUUAAGUCUAAAAAUACCAUAAUAACCCUCAUUUCAUAGAGUUAUCACUUACUGAGGUCCAAAGUCUGACCAAAAUAUCUACUGGUCUGACCUAGAAACCUUAAUUGCCAACGUAGAGAUAUAACAAUCUCACCUGAAAAUAUAUUUAUCGAGGUCAUGUCAAGUGUGCUAUGCCUACCUGGAGAUCUGUCAAUCUGACUUGAAUAUCUGUUUGUCCAGGUCAUGUCAAACAUGCUCUGUCUAUUUGGAGAUCUGCCAAUCUGACUUGAAAAUCUAUUUGUCCAUGUCAUGUCAAACAUGCUCUAAACAUGUCCUAUUCUUUAGAGAAGUUAAGUGUUUUGACCUUUUAAACCACCUUCAACUGAUAGAGGCUACCUGCAACUGCUAAGAGAGUGAGCUAAAAUUGAGGAAAUAACGACCCAGAACUAGAAGUCUAUUUUAAGCUAUAAAUGGUGUUAGAGGAGGGGGUUUGCAAAUUCGACUGGAAGCUCUAAAAAGUUACGAACCACUUAAUCAUCUGCCUCUUACGUGACGUUCAGAACAACACCAAAAAUAUCCCUUGAAUUCUUGCUUAUUUUUAGUUUUUGCAGUCCAUUUUCCUUCCUUUAUAUAUCAAAUAUCUGACUUAGGCAUUAGAGAAUCUAUAAAAGACUCUUUCAACAUAUCCUAACCGUGUUUUAGGAUUGGCAGAUGUGGUGAGAUGCAUUUAGAUCGGUGUCUGAGUUUGGAUUCGUGCUAUUAUUCCCUAAAAAAAAAAUUCAGCUGUUGAGAUUAUUUUUCAGCAUUAACAGUUAAUAAGCUAAAUCAAAAAUAAAAAUAUUACUAAGACUCCUAUUCAAUGACAAUAUGUCAUAUGAAAAAAAAAGUGGUAAUAAUUUAUAAUGGAAAAAAAAUUACAAAGCAAAAGAGCCCCCACCCACAUAAAAUUUUUUAGCCUAGUUUAAAAGAGAGAGACUAUCAAAACAAAAACAAAAAAAUUGAAUGUAGACCAUCACAACCAUUUUUUUUUACCAUGCUUGCUUCUUCUACUGUUUUUUUAAAACUAUUUUUAUUCAUUAACAUGUACUUUAUUUUUACAAUAAUAUUUGUGUAUAAAAUGACAUUAUAUAUAUAAAAAGUUAUGAAUAAAAUGUUCAAGAAUCAAAUUAGACUUUAUUUAUUUAACUUAUCAUAUUUUAUUUGAAAACUCAAACAAAAAACAAAAUUCAAACUUUGCAAGUGCCAUGACACCCUCUAACCUUACAUGCUCUCAACCCUGACCAGAAAGAAGAAAUAAAAUGACUAACCACAUAUAGGGAUAGCAAAAUCCGGGUCCGGGUCCGGGUCCGAGUUUAGCCUUUCCGGAUCCGGACCCGGAUACCAUUUCUUUUCUCGGACCUGGAUUUUAACCCGGAUUUUUUCACCCGGUUCCGGGUCCGGGUCCGGGUUCAACCUGGAAAAAUCCGGGUUUUGAACCCGGAUCAAUGAAUCAAUAUCAAUUUCUAAAAUUCUAAAAAUAAAAAAUUAAUACAUUUCCAAGCAAUAACACAUCUAGAUUUAUCAAUAAAAUUAAUUAAAAAAUAAUAUUAAAAUUAGAUAUCUGGGUCCGGGUUUUGGAUGUCCGGGUUAACCUAAACCCGGACCCGGAUAUAUCCAGGUUAUUAAAAUUUAUUCCGGACCCGGAAUUUUUUACAUUCUAGUACGGGUUCAACCCUGCCCGGAUUAUCCGGGUUCGUCCGGGUCCGGGCCGGGUCCGGGCCGGGUCCUGGUUAUUUUGCCAUCCCUGGUCCACAUACUUGUGGUGGAUGCUGAAGCUGCAGAUGUUAAGAAUCUGCUCUUGACUGUCCCAAAAAAAAUGCGAUGAAACUGCUAGUUUACAUGUUGCUCAAAACUGGUUUCGCGAUCAAAGAGAGCAUAUAUCUCACCCAAUAUACGCUCAUACAUGUAUGUCCUUAAUAUCUUCCUCAACAAAAUGGCGAGUUAGAGGUUGAAAACUAGUAAGCUCGACUUGAGGAUAAAAACCAUUUCGCAUCAAUUUUUUCACCCAACUUUUCCUUCCAUGCAUUAUCCCAUUUAAAUCCCCAAUUCCUUAGUUUCCUCAUAUGUCAGCUCAGUUUUCGGAAUGUGGAAGUGCUUGAGGAUAUCUGCAAUAAUGUUACCAAAGGCAAGGUGUUUGACAAUAGAUAGCUUGUGGGUAUCAUGUUCUAAAUAAUAAGGUACCCAAUAUUGACUUUCAUUUCUCUCAACAAAUAAUCGAGCAAUGCAAUAUCCAACUGUGUUAGGUGUUAUCUCAUCGACAUGGCCCUUUCGAGGACUAUUAACAUGAUGCGGAACAGUGUGAAACAUGCACACUCGAAGGAACAACAGUUGUGAGCAGAUAUCCAUAUCACAGAUAUCAUUUGUAACAACUUGAAUGUCGUCAAAGCCCUCAAAUUCUUUUUUUUUUUUAAGAUGAAAAGAUCUGAAAGCCACUAUCAUGGGUUCCUAAUAUCCAAUUUGGUGUAGACACAUAAAAGAAGAUUGGCUUCCCAUAUACACAGAGGUGGUUAUCUGAUUCUGUUCGAAUUGGUUGGAGUCCAUAUAAAGUUUUAGUGCACAUGGUUAUUUGCCCAACCGACUUCUUGAAACAUAUGAUAUGAAGUUUGAGGACAUACAACCAGAUGACUCAACUUAUCCAUGUUGACAUGAAAAGCGGAGAGUACCUGGCGGUCCAUGAACAGAAAGAAGAACUUCUUGUCCAUACAGGUUUCUAAAAAUUGAAGGAGCUGGCAGCUUCAUCGGGUGGUGAGCCACUUGCUUUCUAUCCCAAAAUUAUGUUUAUUUAUAAUAAGGUGGUUAGCCGACUUAAUUGUAACGGUUAGUAGUUUGCUAGAGUUGGCAAUGGGACAUGACUUGAUAAUCUUGAUCAAAGGUGCUUGAGGCAGCUGAUUGAUGUAGGAAGUUAAUUUUGGUUAAUUUAGAAAUUUUAAGAUUCUAGAAUUUUAUUUUGGGACUUUUUAUUUUCAUUAGAAUCAAUUAUCGUAUUUUAUUAUUUUAGGGCUUUCUAUUUUCAUUAGAGUUAAUUAAGGUAUGAGAUUUAGUUAACUUAGGGAAGUAUCUUUUAUUUCAAUUAUAAUUGUGAUUUAGUUUCCCUUUUUAAGUUAACUUGGAGAAGUGGGUUUCCUUAUUAUAAAUAGAGAAGUUUCGCAAUUAUUUUUAUAAUUUAGAUUUAAUUAUUCAAUAAAACACCUAUUUAUAAUUCCCUCUGGGUAUUAUCUAUCAAAAUCUCUCUUGUAGAGUCGUUUGGAUUAGAGCGUCAUCUAAUCUCGCGUUACACGUUAUUAAAAAUCUCAUUUAGUCAUUUGGUUUAGAACGAUAUCAAAUCAUACUUCAAUUAGAGCGUAACCUAAUUGAAAUGCAAGUUAUGCAACCUAAGAGGGGGGGUGAAUUGGGAUUUUAAAAUUAUGCAAUACAAUUCGCACAACAAGUUAAUCUAUUGCCUUAAUCAAAUCAAAAAUAAUAAAUUCAAUCAAGCACAAUAUUAAAAGAGUAAAGGAAGAGAAAACAAACACAAGGAUUUUUACGUGGUUCGGCUAUCCCCGCCUACGUCCACGCCUCCAAGCACACCCGGCUUGAGGAUUUCACUAUCCAAGUCUCCCAAGGCUUCAAAUGUUUACAAUUGACUUCCAAGGUGUCAAUGGACCUUUACAAUAAGAGAUUAUCUCCCCAAUCUCUUCACCCCAAGUGUUUCUCACACUUGUACACUCACAAUUUGGUAGGAAAUGAAAAUUACAACAAAAACUCUCUUUAAGAGUGGAUAUGCAAAUAAUAGCUCAACAAUGAUUCAAUCUAUGAUGCUUUGCGUUUUGGAAGCUCAAUAUAUGUUGUAUGAUGUUAUAUUUGCUUGCAUUAGUUCUUAGAAUGAAGUUUGAGUUGAGGUUUUAUAGUUAAAGCCCGAAAACUAGCCUUUAUAGGCAAAUUCCCGCGCCCAAGUGGUUAGCCGCUUGAUUUAUCCGGCUAGCCGCUCAGGAACAGUGAUAUUACCGUUAUUUUGAAUUGCUACAGUAAUACUGUUCACUAAAAUUAUACUUUGGCCCAAAACUUUUUAUAAUUAUAUUAAGGCCCCAAACUUCAUAAAACUUUACAAAUAGGUCCAAUUUCAAAAUUUUCUAAAAAUAGUUAUCUUUCCCAAACUUUUUAAAAUUAUGAUAUGGCCCCAAAAAUGUUAUUAUUUUGCAACAAGAUCCUUUUAAACAAAAUACUCAUAUUUUUCAAAGUUCUCAAAUCCUUUCACUUUAGUCCAAAAUAGUCAUAAAUUAUAGUAUGGCCCAAAACAUUUCAAAUGUUUGUAAAAACGUCCAACUCCGAAAUUCAAUAAUAAUACUUAUUAAAAUCAAAGAUUUCAAAACUUUGCAUUUAAGUCCAAAUUUCUCAAAACCACAAGGUACUUUAUCUUAUAAAAAUAAAACUUUUUUAGUUUAUAAAAAGUAAUUAAUUAAAUUAAUCUCUUGAACUUCUCAAAUGCUAAAUCAUGCAUCAAUUAAAUCAUACCGGCUUUAUAAGAAUUUAUCGCACUAAUUUAUCCGUUGAGCUCUAAACUUUUUUCUUGAUUUCGCCAUUGUCCGUUGAGUGUCUUGAGCUUGAUUUCACUUGAUUCACAUGUAUAAAUAUUACCCUUAAAAAAUUAGUAAAAAUGUGAAAUACAAUAUCUAUUAAAUUUACUUAAGACACAUGUUUGUUAUCAUCAAAAUUACAAUGUGUAGCCCUUUAGGCUAACAAUCUCUCCCUUUUUUUAUGAUGACAAACAUCUCAUAUAUUUUGGCAUUUAUACUCCCCCUUAAUACAUGGCAUAUAUAAUUCAACAUAUAAAUCAAAAUUUAAAGAUAAACUCCCUUGAAUAUAUAAUCUAUAACAAUUUGUAAGCUCCCCCUUAAUAUUUUAAAACCAUGCACAAAUACUUCAAGAUCAAAAUACACAUUAUAUGUCUCCAUAUUCAAAAUACAUGAUCUCUCCCCCUUCAUCAUCAAAAUUACUAUAAAUUCAUGUUAAGGCCGAUAAUAUGUCAAUGGUUAAUCGAGAAACAUAUAAUAACCAAACAUCCAAUUAACCAUAAAAUCAUAUUAUAUGCUCCCCCUAAAUAUAUGGCCAAUUUAAAAUUUUAACCAAAAUGAUUUUAUCCAAAAACAUAUUAUAUUUAUCUCCCCCUUUAUCAUAAAAAAUAAAAGAUAGAUAGACGCAAUUCAAAACAAGAUCAUCAAAAAUAAUUCGAUGAAGAUAUUACCCAUUUUGUGCGAGAAAAAAUUUCGACAGAGUCUCCCCUUAAAAAUGAACAAAUCCUCAAAUACACAAUGUGAUUAAAAACAUUUCCAUAUAAGCCUAAACAAGUAUAACAAAUCAACAACUCCACCAAGUCAUCAAGCAACACAUAAGAAUUAAGCAUAUAAUUAACCAAAGAGUUAUAAUAUCCCAAGAAUCUGAAAACAUCAUCCAAAUAUAACAUAUCCGAAGAUCAAAUAAUAAGCAUCCUCAAUCCAUAAAUAAAAACAACAAUGCAUAUGAAAAUGUAGGUGCAUAAUUGAAUAGAGAACCAAGGUAAAAUCCAUAAGGUGAGCACACCAUGGAAUUAGUAAUUAAAAAUACUCAAAAUGCACAAAUUCGGUUUUGUAAAAUAAUGAGAGAAGUGGAUGUGUUUGAGCCAAGAAAAUCGAUCCUAGAGAUGAAUGAAGCUAAUAUAUGAUUUAGAUUGGAUCAAAAUUGGGCUAAAGGACGCUUGAAAAUGAAGAGAGAGAAACAGGUAGAGCUAGGUUUUUUAUUUUGGGUUUUAUGUGGAGAGUUGAUGAAAUGUUGCUUUGAGAGUGAAAAUUUAAGGAGUAAUGGAUGAAUAAUGAUUUGGAUGAUUGAUUUUAACAAGAAAAUGAGUGAAAGAUGAAGAGAUUUGAGAGAGAAAUGGAGAAGUACUGUUCACGCGUGAGAGAUGAUGAUGAAGAAAUGAUGCAGAACAAGUGAAGAAAUGAUGAUUGGGAAGUGUUUAAUGAGAGUGAAAUGCAUGGGUAUUGGUUUGAAUGAUUAAUUUUGGCAUAAAAAUGGUUGAGAAAUGAAGAGAAAUUGAUUGGAAAUGGAAGAGAUUGGCUCAUGGUUUUGGAGAGAGAGGAACGAAGAAGAACAUGUGAAGAAGAAACACAAACCCGUGACCAAGUGGCUAACCGCUUGGGGGCAAGUGGCUAGCCGCUUGCUCUUGGGUUUGAGCAUAUUUCAAGCGGCUAGCCGCUUGAUUCAGGCAGCUAGCCGCCUGGUUUCUGCUCCUCUACACCAAUUUGUUGUCCGGCUGGAAUUUGAGCAAUCCCGAGACCAUUUCGUGAUCCCGAAACAUCUCAAGAGCCAAUUUAAUGCAUGAAUCACUAUAAUUAACAUCCAAAAAAUAUAAAACUCAAAUUUAUAACAUAUUCAUCAUGCAUAUACAUCACAAUUAGGAGAUACGAUAACACUUUAUGGUUGGAAUUAUAAACAUUUAAGACAUGAUUAAUUCACACAUAUAAUUCAUCCAUUAUGCAUAUAUUUUACACAAUCAUUAAACAUAUAUGCAUUCAAAGAUUAAUAAGCAUAUCACUCAUUUAUCAUGCUUAGGCAUUACACAAUCAUUAAAAUCAAACAAAUCCAUCAUGAUGAGUUGACAAGCUAUCAUCAUAUAUAUAUAACCAUGCAUCAUGAUAAAGCACUCAAUGUUAAACACAAUGAUAAUUCAAUCAUGUAAACAUACAAGUAUACUUUCACAAAUUCAAGCUACUAUCCAUUUUUCAUUAUUCACUCAACAUGAUACCAAAUGAAUUAUUAAAUACUUACUAAGCUUAAAAGACCAUCACUUAUAACCAAUAAGGCAAUAAUUGUUACCAAAACAAUUAAAUCAUAUUGUCACAUCAUUUUUGCUUACACCAUGAUCAAGUGAUUAUUCUCAUAAGCUUUUAUCAAGGAACUCUCCGCCAUUCCUUGAUUGUGGUGCCUACAAAAAAUAUUCAAGUUGUGUGCUUUGGUACCCAAAUAUUCUUGGGUCCUUGAGUGUUAGCAAUGGUUCCUUUUGAAACCCAAAUACAUGUUACUCCAUAAUAUGCAUUUCUUUUAACCGGACAUCUAAGCUUCAUGUGACCAUUUUGAUUGCAAUAAUGGCAUACAAUUUGAUCAUUAAUGGAGGUAGUUUUAACAAAAUAACUCUUAUAAUAUUUUUGUUUCAAAUUUGGCUUAUAACCAACACCUCCUUUAUCAAACACACAUUUUUGUGAAUUAAGCAAGUUAUCCAACAUCUUUUGCCCAUUUGUGAAUUUUAACACAAUUUGAUUUAGGUCAUUGCUCUUCUUCUUAAGCACUUCAUUUUCUUUCAUUAAUUCAUCAACAUGUGAUUUCUCAUGCUCAUAUGAAGUACUUUGUUUGCAUUUAAAUUAUGCAAUUCUAUCAUGCAACAUUUUAUUAUCUAACUCUAGUCCUUUAAUCUUUUCAUUUAAUGAAUUAUUGCAUUUUUGUAAAGCAUCCUUUUCAUUUUUCAAGUUAUCUACAUAUGAUUUUAGAUGCUCAUGUGAAGUGCUAGGUUUCUCAUUUGAUAAUGCAACUCUAUCAUGCAAUAUUUUAUUAUCUAAUUCUAGGCAUGUAAUCUUUGCACUUAGAGAUUCAUUCUCAUUUGUGAGCUUUACCAUUUUCUUUUUAAGACAUGCAUUCUUUUUACUAAUUUUUAUCCAAUUAUCAUGCAAUUAUUUAAAAGGAUCAGAUAAUUCAUCAUAAGUAGAAAGAUCAUUUACCUCAUCAAGUUCAUCAUUCGAUUAAUCUCCAAUUGCCAUGAGAGCUAGAUUUGUCAUUUCUUGAUGCUCUUCAUCAUCACUUGUUUCCUCGUCGAUAUCAUCCCAUGUGGCUACCAUUGCUUUCUUCUUGAGCUUGUUGAGAAGAGGGCAUUACAUUCUUAUAUGACCAUGCUUCUUGCACUCAUAACAUUUGAUUACUUCCUUCUUCUCCUUUCGGUUCUUGAGGUCUCUAAAUUUUCUUCGCUCACCGGAUUUCUUAAAACGUUUUCUAAACCUCCUAGCCAGCAUAUCCAUCUCCUCCUCAUCCAGCUCGAUUUCCUCAUCACUCUCAUAUUUCGAGGCUUUGAGAGCAAUGCUUUUCUUCUUCUACUCAUUGCCUCUUUCGGCUGCCAAGUCUUCCUCAUAAGAAAUAAGAGAACCAAUUAAAUCAUCAAUAGGUAAAAUAUUUAAAUCUUUGGCUUCCUCAAUGACAGCCCUUUUUUGUCUCCAUUUCUUAGGUAGCGACCUUAUUAUUUUCUUAACUUUCUCGCUAUUUGAAAAGGUCUUUCCUAGGGCUCCUAGAGUGUUCACUAUGUCUGUAAAUCUAGUAUGGAUAGAAUACACACUCUCAUUUUGUUCCAUUUGAAACAAUUCAUAUUGUCGAGUGUACCUACUAAUUUUAGACUCUUUCACUUGAUUCGUGCCUUCAUAAACAACUUCAAGUUUGUGCAAAAUUUCAUUAGCACUUUCACACCUAGAUACUCUAUGAAACUCUUUCUUAUCUAGUGCACAAAACAAGGCAUUCAUAGCUUUGGAGUUUAGAGAAGCUUUUCUCUUUUCCAAUUCAUUCCAUUCCCGUGAAGGUUUUGGAAUAUCUUCCCCAACUUCAUUUUUAGUCAAAGGCAUAAAUGGACCAUCACAAACAAUUUCUCAAAUUUCAUAAUCUAAAGCUUGCAAAUAAAUUCUCAUCCUAGUUUUCCAAUAUGGGUAGUCAUUACCGUCAAAGAAUGGUGGUCUAAUUGUGGAUUGUCCUUUCCUAAAGGUUGAGUCAUUAUGGGUUGCCAUAGAUCUUUAACUGUAGAUGGUUAAGUCUACACAAGAGCACCUUGCUCUGAUGCCAAAUGAAAUGCAAGUUAUGCAACCCAAGAGGGGGGGUGAAUAGGGAUUUUAAAAUUAUGCAAUACAAUUCGCACAACAAGUUAAUCUAUUGCCUUAAUCAAAUCAAAAAUAAUAAAUUCAAUCAAGCACAAUAUUAAAAGAGUAAAGGAAGAGAAAACAAACACAAGGAUUUUUACGUGGUUCGGCUAUCCCCGCCUACGUCCACGCCUCCAAGCACACCCGGCUUGAGGAUUUCACUAUCCAAGUCUCCCAAGGCUUCAAAUGUUUACAAUUGACUUCCAAGGUGUCAAUGGACCUUUACAAUAAGAGAUUAUCUCCCCAAUCUCUUCACCCCAAGUGUUUCUCACACUUGUACACUCACAAUUUGGUAGGAAAUGAAAAUUACAACAAAAACUCUCUUUAAGAGUGGAUAUGCAAAUAAUAGCUCAACAAUGAUUCAAUCUAUGAUGCUUUGCGUUUUGGAAGCUCAAUAUAUGUUGUAUGAUGUUAUAUUUGCUUGCAUUAGUUCUUAGAAUGAAGUUUGAGUUGAGGUUUUAUAGUUAAAGUCCGAAAACUAGCCUUUAUAGGCAAAUUCCCGCGCCCAAGUGGUUAGCCGCUUGAUUUAUCCGGCUAGCCGCUCAGGAACAGUGAUAUUACCGUUAUUUUGAAUUGCUACAGUAAUACUGUUCACUAAAAUUAUACUUUGGCCCAAAACUUUUUAUAAUUAUAUUAAGGCCCCAAACUUCAUAAAACUUUACAAAUAGGUCCAAUUUCAAAAUUUUCUAAAAAUAGUUAUCUUUCCCAAACUUUUUAAAAUUAUGAUAUGGCCCCAAAAAUGUUAUUAUUUUGCAACAAGAUCCUUUUAAACAAAAUACUCAUAUUUUUCAAAGUUCUCAAAUCCUUUCACUUUAGUCCAAAAUAGUCAUAAAUUAUAGUAUGGCCCAAAACAUUUCAAAUGUUUGUAAAAACGUCCAACUCCGAAAUUCAAUAAUAAUACUUAUUAAAAUCAAAGAUUUCAAAACUUUGCAUUUAAGUCCAAAUUUCUCAAAACCACAAGGUACUUUAUCUUAUAAAAAUAAAACUUUUUUAGUUUAUAAAAAGUAAUUAAUUAAAUUAAUCUCUUGAACUUCUCAAAUGCUAAAUCAUGCAUCAAUUAAAUCAUACUGGCUUUACAAGAAUUUAUCGCACUAAUUUAUCUGUUGAGCUCUAAAUUUUAUUCUUGAUUUCGUCGUUAUCCGUUGAGUGUCUUGAGCUUGAUUUCACUUGAUUCACUUGUAUAAAUAUUACCCUUCAAAAACUAGUGAAAAUGUGAAACACAAUAUCUAUUAAAUUUACUUAAGACACAUGUUUGUUAUCAUCAAAAUUACAAUAUGUGUAGCUCUUUAGGCUAACACUAAUCGCAUUGCCUUGAUUCAGUAUUAAAGCGAAAUCUAGUUUUUCUACCCCAUCAAUUUUUGUUUCUGCUACUCCUCACUUCAUCACUGAUAAGUUCAUCAGAACAAAUGAAAAAGGCCCUUAGAAUUAAAGCCAUUGGAUUAAGGAGUCUAUAUCAAAGAGAUUUGGUCUUAUACUUUCAUCUUAUACUUUAUAAAUACAUUUGAAAAAGAAAAACUCUAAUUGCAACUAAUUUUACAUUUUUUUUCAUUUAAAAGUGAUCAAAUUUAUCUUUCUUUAUUGUGAGGUCUGAUAGAUUCGAUUCAAAUUGUAUUCUUUGCACGAUUAGAUUAAUUGCACUUAGCUAGAACAACAUUAACAAAUAAAUGCUCUCAAAUGAUACAAUACUGAAAAAUAUAAAUGGUUACAAAUUAGAUUUAUUAUUAUUUUGGAGGUUUGAGUAAGUUGAAAAAUAUAAACGGUUACAAAAUAUAUUCAUUAUUAUUUUGGAGGUUUGAGUAAGUUGAAGCAUCUCGGCUUAAGUGGUAAUUAACAAACUCAACCUCAAUUGUAGUGUUUUAUCUUCUCCAUCUUCGUUAAGAGAAUUAUAUGGGAUUCAAAGGAAUUUUUUAUGUUCAAGGUAAUUAAGCCUAAUGUCACGGGAUGAGUGUUUUGCGCAACGAACUUGUGUGGUACUUAGACAACCUUUGCCGAAUGUUGCUAAGUAAGCCUUGAGCUUCUCGACUAGCUAAGCUUAAAGGUUUUCGAAGAGCUAGAGAGAAGAGAGCAAUGGAGCCAAAUGAGAGAAAUUGUAUUACUCGCAAAGAGAUUACAAGAGAGCUUACAAGCGUGUUUGAGUUGCUUGCUCAAAGCUUGAUGCUCAAAUGCUAAAUGUCAUGCCCUAUUUAUAGGGGAGGCUUACCAAGCUCAAAAGCUCUAGAGAAUUCUACCACUUGCCUAGAAUUCUAGAUAUUUACAUGUGCUAGAAAUGUGUAGAGAAUUAUAAAUAUGUACAAGCUUGAGUGUGCUAGAGUUACCUAGAAAUUUCCAGAAUCGGGCCAAGCUAGCACUCUUAGCCUUGCCUUGGGCUCUUUAGCCCGAAUUUGUAGACAAUUGGGCUAGCAACUUGGGCGGUCCUGCUUCUCAUGUUAUCUACUACCUAAAUUUAUAGAUCUUCAACAAUAUUUAAUAUUUUGAUUAGUUUAGAGGAAUCAAAUUCUAACAGGCUUUAUUAAGCAAACUUUCAUUUACUAUAUCAAUUAAUGAAUUCAUACCUAUAGUACUUUUUUUUUAAGUUUUAGCCUAAUUGCAACCUACAUUUUAUUAAAUUAAAUAUGUAAGUAGAAACAUAAUAUUGAUAGACUAAAUUUUAUAAUAACUAGAAACAUAAUAC